rnacentral:tRNA from 2 species
GCCGAGGUAGCUCAAUGGCAGAGCAUCGGUUUUGUAAACCGACGGUUGUGGGUUCGACUCCCACCCUCGGCUCCA